rnacentral:lncRNA from 1 species
UUGCCGGAAGUCCCGCCGUCAGCUUCUGUAAGUUUGGUGACUUGUUUUUAAUCGUGUUCUGUUCAUUUACCUGCUUCCUAAACAUAGGUGAACUCUUCUAAUAUCUACUAUAGGCUCUAGAGACUUGCUGUAAGCUGUACGUGAGUAUAUUUUUGCUGGGAUACAUUAUGAGCUACUAAGUUUUUGUUAGACAGGAUUUUAUUUAGUAUUUUUAAUAAUGCAAGUAAUUAUUCAGUGCUGAACCUCUAAAUGAGGAUCUAAACUGAUUAAAUCAGGACUAAAGCAUGUCUAACAAAGAUUAAACCAAGAACCUGAAUACAUCUUUACCAAGGCCCAAAACCAUUGGAUACAGGUCAGGUCAUUCCUGUAUAGUAGGAGCAUGGAUCUAAUAUAGAGUAGGAGUAGAACUUUUGUCAUCUGCUGUAAACAUAUUAUUAGUAAUGAAUCAUUCAUUCCUUUCUUUGUGCAACGACAGACAGAUGUCUUUUCUGAAUGGAGAAGAUGGAGGAGAUUGAUUUGGAGUUUGUUCACUACCUAGAUUAUCCACUCUACUGCAUCAGAUGACUCCAGCAUUACUGAUCUGCACCCCGGAAUAUCCUGGAAUAAUCACUUGUGCAGUUUUGAUGACAUCUCUUGAAGUGUUAUGACCAUCAAUUUUCACAGAUCAAGACAUUUACAGAAGAUCGGGGACUGACAUCCUGCCUGUGCGUUCUCAGAAUAUGAAACGUAUGUUAU